GGUUAAGUUAGAAAGGGCGCACGGUGGAUGCCUUGGCACUAGGAGCCGAUGAAGGACGGGACGAACACCGAUAUGCUUCGGGGAGCUGUAAGCAAGCUUUGAUCCGGAGAUUUCCGAAUGGGGAAACCCACUGCUCGUAAUGGAGUAGUAUCCAUACUUGAAUACAUAGAGUAUGAGAAGGCAUACCCGGGGAACUGAAACAUCUAAGUACCCGGAGGAAGAGAAAGCAAAUGCGAUUCCCUGAGUAGCGGCGAGCGAAACGGGAACAGCCCAAACCAAGAGGCUUGCCUCUUGGGGUUGUAGGACACUCUAUACGGAGUUACAAAGGAAUGAUAUAAGCGAAGAGGUCUGGAAAGGCCCGCCAAAGAAGGUAACAGCCCUGUAACUGAAAUGUUGUUCUCUCCAGAGUGGAUCCUGAGUACGGCGGAACACGUGAAAUUCCGUCGGAAUCCGGGAGGACCAUCUCCCAAGGCUAAAUACUCCCUAGUGACCGAUAGUGAACCAGUACCGUGAGGGAAAGGUGAAAAGCACCCCGGAAGGGGAGUGAAAUAGAUCCUGAAACCGUGUGCCUACAAGUAGUCAGAGCCCGUUAACGGGUGAUGGCGUGCCUUUUGUAGAAUGAACCGGCGAGUUACGAUCCCGUGCAAGGUUAAGCAGAAGAUGCGGAGCCGCAGCGAAAGCGAGUCUGAAUAGGGCGCAUGAGUACGUGGUCGUAGACCCGAAACCAGGUGAUCUACCCAUGUCCAGGGUGAAGUUCAGGUAACACUGAAUGGAGGCCCGAACCCACGCACGUUGAAAAGUGCGGGGAUGAGGUGUGGGUAGGGGUGAAAUGCCAAUCGAACCUGGAGAUAGCUGGUUCUCUCCGAAAUAGCUUUAGGGCUAGCCUCAAGGUAAGAGUCUCGGAGGUAGAGCACUGAUUGGACUAGGGGCCCCUACCGGGUUACCGAAUUCAGUCAAACUCCGAAUGCCGAUGACUUAUCCUUGGGAGUCAGACUGCGAGUGAUAAGAUCCGUAGUCGAAAGGGAAACAGCCCAGACCGCCAGCUAAGGUCCCAAAGUAUACGUUAAGUGGAAAAGGAUGUGGAGUUGCUUAGACAACCAGGAUGUUGGCUUAGAAGCAGCCACCAUUUAAAGAGUGCGUAAUAGCUCACUGGUCGAGUGACUCUGCGCCGAAAAUGUACCGGGGCUAAACGUAUCACCGAAGCUGCGGACUGUUCUUACGAACAGUGGUAGGAGAGCGUUCUAAGGGCUGUGAAGCCAGACCGGAAGGACUGGUGGAGCGCUUAGAAGUGAGAAUGCCGGUAUGAGUAGCGAAAGACGGGUGAGAAUCCCGUCCACCGAAUGCCUAAGGUUUCCUGAGGAAGGCUCGUCCGCUCAGGGUUAGUCGGGACCUAAGCCGAGGCCGAAAGGCGUAGGCGAUGGACAACAGGUUGAUAUUCCUGUACCACCUCCUCACCAUUUGAGCAAUGGGGGGACGCAGGAGGAUAGGGUAAGCGCGGUAUUGGAUAUCCGCGUCCAAGCAGUUAGGCUGGGAAAUAGGCAAAUCCGUUUCCCGUAAAGGCUGAGCUGUGAUGGCGAGCGAAAUUUAGUAGCGAAGUUCCUGAUUCCACACUGCCAAGAAAAGCCUCUAGCGAGGUGAGAGGUGCCCGUACCGCAAACCGACACAGGUAGGCGAGGAGAGAAUCCUAAGGUGAUCGAGAGAACUCUCGUUAAGGAACUCGGCAAAAUGGCCCCGUAACUUCGGGAGAAGGG
rnacentral:ncRNA from 1 species